AUCGCGCUACGAACCCCGGAAGUGAUUCAAAUGAUAAUGUUAUUAUUUAGAUGUUGUUAUUUGUACAAAUUUAAAGGGUUUCCAAAAACACUGUGAAUGUAAACAGAGACAACCGUCCCGCUCGCUCCGUACUCCCGAACUGACUCAAACGUUUCUGGAAAAAUGAGCGCCCGUCGCUUCCGUUAUGAGCGCCCAUACGGUGCGCCUACAUUUGAUAUAACGAACUUGAGAGCGCAGAAGACGUUAUAUGUUAACAGCCCCUUACUUAUAGCCUUGUUUGCUGCUCUUUAAUUUAAUUCUUUUUCAUUUAUGUGAAAUUAUGUACCACAAAUUAACAGUUUUGCUUUAUGGAUUAUACUUUUUUAUCUGUUGAACACCAAACAUAAACAAAAAGAAGUUUUAAACUCAUUAUUUUCGUUAAUUUAAAAAAAGUAAACAAUUUGUUUGCAUUUGCGCAAGCAUAUUCACGCAGCGCUGUCUCGUGAGUGCAGUGGAAGGUUGUGAAUUCCAACGGUCGAGAAGAGAUUGAUCCCCGUCUGCUGAUUUAAAUUGAUGGUCUGACAGAAAUAUUGUUGUGCGGAUUUACACUAAAACACGAAAGAGCCUGAACCGCGAAAGUGUCACAAGUUGCCUUACAUCCAUAAGUUUUGUUGUGCUUGUUGCAAACUGUUAAAUUAAGUGUUUUCCGAUCCUAAGCUUAGAAAAAAAGAUGCAAGACUUCAAACUUUCCAGUACUCCUGUGAACUGAUAAUCCGGUUUCCACCCAGUCCCAGGAGAUUAUAUUAAACCUGGAAAAUAUUGGAGAAGAUCAAUUAAGUUUUCAGGAGCACAUUACUGUGAUAAAUGCUGAGCUAUGUAAAAGACAACCUGCUACACCAACAUAUCAAAAAUCGAAUGAGGUGCGCUCUUGUUAAAAGAGUUGAUUUAAUGACAAAAUCAACAUGAGAGGUCAUGGACAUGUUCCCAUUUCUUCGGGUUCCACAAAAUGUGA